UUCCUUCCAGUUAAAGCUAUUAACUUAUGUGAAGCCUGACGUGGGCGACUAUAAAAUAUAACCAUGGAGUUCGGUCUUUAACGGACUGGACAACACCGCUGAAAUGCUGUGAUCAACUAUUGUUGUACCAGCAGCCCUCUUAUAGGGCCCACAGAUCAAGCCGCGGUGAUCCUACCUAGAGUAUUUAAGUAGGACUAUAAUAUGACCGGUCUCACCUGAGAUGGUUGAGAGAACACGUUCCGUAGGUGAACCUGCGGAAGGAUCAUUACCGAGUUAGGGUCUUAUAGGCCCGACCUCCAACCCUUUGUUUACUACACCAUGUUGCUUUGGCGGGCCCGCCUUUUGGGGCCGCCGGGGGUUUACAAGCCCCUGGUCAGUGUCCGCCAGUAGCCUUAUUAAAUUCUUUUAUAAUUAUGUUGUCUGAGUAUAAAUAUAAAUCGUUAAAACUUUCAACAACGGAUCUCUUGGUUCUGGCAUCGAUGAAGAACGCAGCGAAAUGCGAUAAGUAAUGCGAAUUGCAGAAUUCAGUGAGUCAUCGAAUCUUUGAACGCAUAUUGCGCCCUUUGGUAUUCCGAGGGGCAUGCCUGUUCGAGCGUCAUUAUAACCACUCAAGCUCCACGCUUGGUAUUGGGGUUCGCGUGCUCGCGGCCCUUAAAAUCAGUGGCGGUGCCGUCUGGCUCUACGCGUAGUAAUUUCUCUCGCGAUGGAGUUCCGGCGGUUGCUUGCCAAAACCCCCCUAUUUUCUCAGGCUGACCUCGGAUCAGGUAGGGAUACCCGCUGAACUUAAG
rnacentral:sRNA from 1 species